GGCGAGAUGGCCGAGCGGUCUAAGGCGCCAGAAUCAGGCUUUUCAGUCAUAAAAUCUGGUCCGAGAGGGCGCGGGUUCGAAUCCCGUUCUCGUCA